AAUUAGUGCUAGCUAGACUCACUUAAGAAGGAAUGCCUAACAUCUCUUGGGGAUUCUAUGUUUGUUGCCUGAAAAAACAUACAAGACAAUGAUUAGCAAUAUCCAAGUACUCCUAACACUCAACUAAAAACCAGUGACACUCAACAAAUAAUCAUAUAUUGAUCCACCACCUAUAAUCAUGUUUUAGUAAACAAACACCUAAAGCUAAAAAUUG
rnacentral:lncRNA from 1 species